UUAAGUUCAGCGGGUACCCCUACCUGAUCCGAGGUCAAACCUGACGAGAUGCCCCGGAGAUGCCGCCACGGGCUCGAGGCGGGAGGGACAGCAAUGGCCCCGCGACUGCUCCACGCUAACCACAGCGUCUACCAAGUCGGGUCCGCCAAUGCGUGUUGCUCCCCAUACAUUUCGGCGGGGUGGGGAGGACCGGGCCGCCA
rnacentral:misc_RNA from 1 species